GGGUCAGUAGGUUGGUCGUGCCACCGGUACGUACUGGUCUCACUGAUUCCUCCUUCCUGAAGAACCGUAAUGCCAUUAAUUUUGUGUUGCGGGGAAACAGGACUGUUAAUUUGAAAAAAUUAGAGUGUUUAAAGCAAGCUAACGCUUGAAUACAUUAGCAUGGAAUAAUGAAAUAGGACGAUCGAUCCUAUUUUGUUGGUUUCUAGGAUUGACGUA
rnacentral:rRNA from 1 species